AAGGCCACACAGGGCCACGACACAAUGUUUUAGCACUUAUUUCAGCUCACUCAGUUGCCCCAUAAGCUAAUACUCGUUGUGAGCAAAUUAUAAGGUGGGCCAGAGCGAGCAUCAAAAUGUAUGAACACUCUGCUCCCUCAUGAAAGUUUUUUGGCCUUUAACACGACUCGGUAUAGCUUCUGUGAAAC
rnacentral:lncRNA from 1 species